AUCAUGGAUUAAUUGUAAACAUAAAGAAAGACACUGAAAAAAAAAACAUAUCAAAGCUAUGGCUUUGGGGCAAACUCCAGUGCCACGGAAGCUAGAAUGUUUUCUUUUAUCAGAGCUCCCUUUCUGGCCUCUGAAAUUACUUCUUUCAUGUCUGAUAGUGAAGAACGAAGCCGCCUGCUCCCCGGAGAUGCGCGAUUGUUACCAUGGUCUCAUAACAUAUUGGCAGCCGAUGUGGCGUCCGCGUACACCUGUCACUCAGGUCUCCCGCGCAGAUGCGGCAGGCAGGCUCCGUUCGACGCGGGCCCCCUGCCCCCACCCCCACCUGGCGCCUGCACACUCAGGGCCCACGGCCGCGGGGCGGCGCAUCCGGGCUCGCGUGGCCGCGCGGGGGGCGGGCGCUGGCUGGUGGCUCUGCAGGGCGGCGGGGACCCCAGCGCUCGCCCCGCUGACCUCCCUCCAGCCAAGCGACCGGCCUCGGUCAGGCGGAAGAGUGGAGAUCCCAAAGAAGAGGUCCUAUUUUGCAAAUGUGUGAAUCACAUAGUGUCAACUUGGAAGUGUAUCUUGUCACUUUGAAUCUUUCAGCCUGGUUAGGUUGGAGGUUCCUCCUCCCUCACCCCAGUCCAUUCCUGAAAAAUUGAGAUUCAGAAACCACGGGAUUUGGUAAAGUGACACAGCUAUCUACACCCAUGACCCCUGCCUGGCCUCAUCCCAUCACAGCCGUGCUGGGACAGAGCAGGAGGCGACAUCCCCAGCCCCAGCCCUCAACUCCACACUGUUCUUUCUCUACAUCAGAGACUCUGCUUCUUCCCUGGGGAAGCUCAUGGUGAAUACAUAUCUGAAUUCAUUCUGGGCAGAUGAGGGCAUUGGCCCUGUGCUCCCAGGGGUUACUCAUAGUUUCCCACCCAGCAGAUUAAAAAAAAAAAAAGGGGGCUGAACAAGAAGAGCCAAUGCCCCUGGCAAUCCUGUCCAGUUGUCAGACACCGUGGUGAUUUUCCCUGCGCCUGGGGGAGCCGCCAAGCCUGAGGGCUGGGUUAGCAGAUGCCAAUGUUGAGAAGGUUGAAGGCAAGGAGGUUCCCAGUCACUGCACGAUGCAAAUUGAGGCCAAGACAGGACACAGAGCCUCCGUGAUUGAAGAACAGAAAAGAUUUUUCAGAAUCAAAUCAUCAAGUUUAAUUCCUGGGCUGAUCUGAAAGCGACUUUUUUUUUUUUUAAUGUGGAAAAUAUCAAAAUGGGUUCAAAUCUCCUCAUUUCAAAUUUGUAAAUGCAUCACUUUAUUGAACGAUUUGUCCAUUUUUAUAAGCUGAUUUAUGGUAGCUGUAAUGUGAUUCAUCAUGUCAUCUUGUAAAUAAAUGCGACACUUCAU
rnacentral:lncRNA from 1 species